UGAAAGACAUGGGUAGUGAGAUGUGUGUAAAUAGUUUCAUCUCACUACCUUGUCUUUGACG
rnacentral:pre_miRNA from 1 species